GCAAAUCACUUUCCAGUAGUUUUACCACUGCGGUCCGGAUUCUCACAUGUAAAUUUAUUCUAUUUCAAGAUGGCGGGCACAAAUGGAAAACUUCACCCAGAGGUCAUGUGGGCACAGAGAGAUGACAAGUUAUUUUUAACAAUAAACCUGGCUGAUGUACGGAAAAAAGAUGCAAGAAUAGAGCUCAAAGAAGACAAAUUAAUUUUUAGUGGUAAUGGUGGACCAGAGAAACAUGACUAUGAAGCAGAGAUAGAAUUUUAUGCAGCUGUUAAGCCAGAGG